rnacentral:piRNA from 1 species
UAAACCAAGAUCGAAGGCCAGCUUCCUU